rnacentral:rRNA from 1 species
GACGAACGCUGGCGGCGCGCCUAACACAUGCAAGUCGAACGAGCGAGAGAGAGCUUGCUUUCUCGAGCGAGUGGCGAACGGGUGAGUAACGCGUGAGGAACCUGCCUCAAAGAGGGGGACAACAGUUGGAAACGACUGCUAAUACCGCAUAAGCCCACGGGUCGGCAUCGACCAGAGGGAAAAGGAGCAAUCCACUUUGAGAUGGCCUCGCGUCCGAUUAGCUAGUUGGUGAGGUAACGGCCCACCAAGGCGACGAUCGGUAGCCGGACUGAGAGGUUGAACGGCCACAUUGGGACUGAGACACGGCCCAGACUCCUACGGGAGGCAGCAGUGGGGAAUAUUGCACAAUGGGGGAAACCCUGAUGCAGCGACGCCGCGUGGAGGAAGAAGGUCUUCGGAUUGUAAACUCCUGUUGUUGAGGAAGAUAAUGACGGUACUCAACAAGGAAG